rnacentral:snRNA from 1 species
UUGCUUUGGCAGCAUAUGUACUAAAAUUGGAAAGAUACAAGAUUAGUGUGGCCUCUGCACUAGGAUGACAUGAAAAUUUGUGAAACAUUCCAUAAAAAA